GUUUCAGCAGCCGCGGUAAUACGUAGGGGGCAAGCGUUGUCCGGAUUUAUUGGGCGUAAAGAGCGUGUAGGCGGUUCGGUAGGUCCGUUGUGAAAACUCGAGGCUCAACCUCGAGACGCCGAUGGAAACCAUCGAACUAGAGUCCGGAAGAGGAGAGUGGAAUUCCUGGUGUAGCGGUGAAAUGCGCAGAUAUCAGGAAGAACACCCGUGGCUAAGGCGGCUCUCUAGUACGGUACUGACGCUGAGACGCGAAAGCGUGGGGAGCGAACAGGAUUAGAUACCCGAGUAGUCC
rnacentral:rRNA from 1 species